rnacentral:tRNA from 1 species
AUUUUCUUAGUAUAUUUAAGUACUUUUAAUUUCCAAUUAAAAAGACUACUUCGUAGAGAAAAUA